rnacentral:rRNA from 1 species
GAUGAACGCUGGCGGCGUGCCUAAUACAUGCAAGUCGAGCGAACAGACGAGGAGCUUGCUCGUCUGACGUUAGCGGCGGACGGGGGAGCAAAACGUGGAGAACCUACCUAUAAGACUGGGAUAAAUUCGGGAAACCGGAGCUAAUACCGGAUUACAUGCUGAACCGCAUGGUUCAACAGUGAAAGACGGUCUUGCUGUCACUGAUAGAUGGAUCCGCGCCGCAUUAGCUAGUUGGUAAGGUAACGGCUUACCAAGGCAACGAUGCGUAGCCGACCUGAGAGGGUGAUCGGCCACACUGGAACUGAGACACGGUCCAGACUCCUACGGGAGGCAGCAGUAGGGAAUCUUGCGCAAUGGGCGAAAGCCUGACGGAGCAACGCCGCGUGAGUGAUGAAGGUCUUCGGAUCGUAAAGCUCUGUUAGUGGGGAAGAACAAAUGUGUGAGUAACUAUGCACGCAUUGACGGUACCUGAUCAGGAAGCCACGGCUAACUACGUG